UGGAAUUUAGCAAAGUGGCACCGUGCCUGCCUUGCAAGCACAAGGUCCUGAGUUCGAUCCUUAGAACUACAA
rnacentral:tRNA from 1 species